rnacentral:rRNA from 1 species
UCCGUUUGGGCGUUGGGCAAUGUGGUGUUUAGGUUAGUGCUCUCAAGUGCUGCUACAUUCCAAGUCCAAUCUUGAAUAUGGCUUUAAUAUGGCCCACAGAGGGUGAAAGGCCCGUAGAGGACGGAGUGGCGCUUGACUGUGCUGACUGUGGAGUCGGGUUGUUUGAGAAUGCAGCCCAAAGUUGGUGGUAAACUCCAUCUAAGGCUAAAUACUGGCACGAGUCCGAUAGCGAACAAGUACCGUGAGGGAAAGUUGAAAAGUACUCUGAAGAGAGAGUAAACAGUGCGUGAAACCGCUUAGAGGUAAACGGGUGUAGUCAAGCUGCAAGCUGUGGGAAAUAUCCGGGUCAGUUGGCGUGAGCCUGAGCACUCUCUUGACGAGAACGGAAGUUGGUCUGUCCUACUAUAUGGACGGGUUGGGCGCGUAAGUGUCUGAUUGGCGUUGCCAGCUAGCUUUCGGUGUUCGGCUGACCCGGCCAUUUUCUCAUGGCGUAAGUCACGACCGUCGUUGCCGUCGGUCCGCUCCGUCUAAACCGUGUCGCGGGUAGUCUUGUGCUGUCUGUGAUACGGGUGGCAGGUGGCCGGUCCGGUACCUAGUGCUGGACUGGUGUAAUUUGCUGGGCGGAGUGGGUUCAAACUGUGCGGUGCGAUGCGGCUAGCGGUGUCUGGCUUGCCUUCUCGCCAAUGUAGUCGUGAUGGGCGUGAGUCUGGCUGCUUGUUGCUGUGUUUCACAGCCCUGCGGUGGCUCU